UGGGUUAACAGAAGGGCUUUUGUCACUGC
rnacentral:piRNA from 1 species